GGAUGAAGCUGGCUCAGAACCCUGUGGCUGCCGCCUUAAGGAUUUAUCCCGCAAGAAGGAAGCCAUUUGAAAGGCUUUAAGCAGGGGCUGGUGACAUGAUCGGAUUUUUCAUUUUGAAAAUGUCACAGUAUCUGCAGUGACGCAAAGCGAUCCGAGGGACCCAGUGGAUGCAGUUAGAAGAUAAACCUGACCCGGCAGGCCUCGGUCGAGGCUGCAGGAGGCGGGGGAGUCGGUUCGGGCGCUCGGGCUGCACCCGCUGCUAGCUCCGCGGAACCCCGAACCGGCCCACGUGGGCCCGGCCGCCCCGCCCCGCCGCGCUGACGCCGCCCGACUCCGGAGUCCAGGCCUGGGGCUGGCCGCGCCGUCCGGGAGCCCCGCACCCCACGCCCGGCCCACGGGCCUCCCCAGGCCAGGCCGAGGGACACCCCCCCUCCCCCGCUAGCCCCGAGGGACGAGUUCCCGCCACGGGGUCCACAGGAGCAGAGCCAGCCGCGCCGGGGCGGGCGCGUCCAGGCCACCAAAUGUUUGCCAUCCAGCCAGGGGUGGCUGAGGGGGGCCAGUUCCUGGGGGGUCCGCCGGGAGUAUGUCAGCCGGAGCUCCAAACAGACAGCAACUCUAACUUCAUGGUGAGUGCCAAAGAUGCCAAUGAGAAUUGGCAUGGGAUGCCAGGCCACGUGGAGCGCAUCCUGAUGAGGAGCUCCUCUGAGUUGCCCUCUGACAACCAGGUCUUCCAGGCCCCUGGACUCCCCGAGGGGGAGGUGCGCAGCCCACCAGAGGGGGCAGAAAUCCCCGGAGCUGAGCUUGAGAAGUUGAGUGGUGCCAGCCCAGUGUGCUCCCCGCUGGAGGACAAUGGCUACGCCAGCAGCUCCCUGAGCACCGACAGCCGCAGCAGCAGUCCUGAGCCUGCCUGUGGGACCCCUCGAGGCCCGGGCCCUCCAGAUGCCCUUCUGCCCUCGGUGGCCCAGGCUGUGCAGCAGCUGCAGGCUCAGGAGCGCUACAAAGAGCAGGAAAAGGAGAAGCACCACGUGCAUUUGGUGAUGUACCGCCGCCUGGCCCUGCUGCAGUGGAUCCGGGGCCUGCAGCACCAGCUGGUAGACCAGCAGACCCGUCUGCAGGAGAGCUUCGACACCAUCCUGGACAACCGAAAGGAGCUUAUCCGCUGUCUCCAACAGAGGGCAGCCCCAUCCGGGCCCCAGGAGCAGGGCUAAGGGUGUGCCUCCACAGGAGUGCAGGGGUAUAUGUCCAUAUUUGCAGGCAUGUGUGUGGUUGUGCACAAGUAAGUACGUGAUUAUUUGCUGGUAUGAGUGCAGGGUCCCAUUGCUCCGGAGAGAGGGCUAGCCUGCAGGAUUUAUCGGAGGGUUGUGGCUGAUCCAUUCCCCUGAGAUUUCCCAGGCCACCUGUCCACCCUCUCCCCAUCACUCCUCUCAGACUUUGCUCUGCUAAGGCUGUUGUCCCUGAUGGUGGAUUUGCUGUGGGAAGUGUGGUGGCAGCUCUGGCCUGCCAUGGCUUUUUGGCUACAAUUUUGCCAGGCGACUGGUAGAGAAUUAGUAGGAGGGAGGGGAGCUGGGGUUGGUGAUCAACACUGUGGCAGGGAUGGGGCGGGAUGGGAUCAGAGAAGAAGAUAAAGUCCCACUUGAACUCUGCCUUGGGGCACAUGGGAGAUGGGGAUGGGGGAGAUGACAGUGGCAGAACCCUGUGAAGAAUAGGAGAAAGGGAAUUCUAAAACGUCACUUGGAAACAAACCACACUUCUCGACGGCAAAGGAGCGGUUGCAGACCAUAUUGAUUUAAGCUUCUGAUGAAAGCGGAUGUACGCUUAUACGCUUGCAAGGAACAGACAAGGUGCUCCAAGACUGCUGGGGAAAAAUAAUCUCACUUUCUUCUCUGUGCCUCUACUUGCUGUCCCUCUCGGGCUUUAGCAACACUGGAUGUUAAAUUAGUUUGGUCCGUUUUCCUGAAAUCAGGCUGUCUAGGCCCAGAGGAGCCAUAGUCGGCUUUCCAGGUGGGCAGAGGCCAUUGUCAGCCGAGCCUCUGGAAGCUCUUAGGACGCUGGGUCAUAACCCCUUCCUUCACUGCAUGGUCCUUUCGGUGGGGGUUGACUGGCUCCAGCAGAGGCUCCGUGAAAUGGAGAGUGGGUGAAUUCUGGGGAGAACUAGGGACUAAGGUAGCCAAGCUCUCUGCUUUGCUUUUGGGAGCCAUGAGGAUGCAAGAUCCUGAUGGUGAGCAGUGGCAUGAUGCUGAGUCUCCCUAUCUGCAAAAUGGGGGUGUUCUUCCUCUCUCUAAAGAGUUCUAUCCCUGACAGUGGGUGAAGGGCAUAUUAGUUAGGUUGAAGCAAUGGUCCUGGGGAGUUUUGUGUCUAGCCCUUGCGUGUUGAGUAUGAACCUGACCUCUGGGCCAAGCCAGGAUGAAUAAACUGGGGCAGAGGAAUGCAUUUCUUGGGUUUGUGUUUCUAUUCUACCCAUUGUCUGGUGGCCUCUUUUCCACACCAUGUGAGCUGCCCUUUUGAGCAGAGUUCUGGGCUGGGAGCUAGGGGGCAGACGGGAGGAAAGACAGACAGGAGGAAAGUCACUGGGGAGGAGUAAUUCAGCCUUCUGUGGCUGAUGGGGGUGACAAGAAGUUUCUCCUCAGGGGCCUCUUGGUCUGACAGGGGGGACUUGGCCUCAGCCUGAGAGCCCUGUGUGGGAUUGCCCUUGUCCUAAGGCACCUUUGGGCCUGAAGGUUGGUGGGGGGGAAGUAGGCAUUGAUGGUGAGGGAUACAUAUGCUCUCUCCCUCCCCACCCUCACACUCCUACUCAACCCUGCCCUAGAACCACCACUUCCCUGAAGGGUGCCCUGACGGCAAAAGACUUGAGUUAGGCUCCUCACAUGGUUCUGACAGAUGUAGUUAUAGUGCAUGUCUAUGACUUCAGAUAUUUACUCUGCCAAUCUAGACCAGACCUUUUCUUUUACAUGGGUUUGUAUGAUGACUUAAUGAUUAGUUUCUCAAAAAUUCACUGUAUAAAGAAAGGUAUCUAUUGCUGCAUAAGAAAUUACCUUAAAACUUAGGGACUUAAAAUAAUACACAUUUGUUAUCUCAUGAUUCCUGUAGGUCAGGAAUCUCUCACAAGGCUGCAAUCAAGAUGUCAGUCUAGGCUCUGUGGUCUUAUUUGUUGGGAGCAUUCAGUUCCUCGAGGCAGGUCAUUUUCAGUUCCUUGCCAUGUGGGUUCUUCCAACAUGGCAACUCACUUCAUCAAAGUAUGCAAGCCAAGAAAGUGAUAGAGUACUAGCAAGACAGAGGACAUUAGUUUCUGCAACCUACUCAUGGAAGGGAUAACCCCUCGAUGUUGUCAUAUUCUAUUGGUUAAAAGCAAGUUACUCAAGGGGCACCUGGGUGGCCUAGUUGGUUAAGCAUCCAACUUGUGAUUUCAGCACAAGUCAUGAUCUCAUGGGUCAUGGGAUUGAACCCACGUGG